UACGUAGGGGGCGAGCGUUGUCCGGAAUUAUUGGGCGUAAAGAGCGUGUAGGCGGUUCGGUAAGUCUGUCGUGAAAUCCUGGGGCUCAACCUCGGGCGUGCGAUGGAUACUGCCGGGCUAGAGGGUGGUAGAGGCGAGUGGAAUUCCCGGUGUAGCGGUGAAAUGCGCAGAUAUCAGGAGGAACACCGGUGGCGAAGGCGGAUCUCUGGGCCAUUACUGACGCUGAGGAGCGAAAGCGUGGGGAGCGAACAGG
rnacentral:rRNA from 1 species